UUCGAGUGGCGGACGGGUGAGUAACGCGUGGGUAACCUGCCUUACACAGGGGGAUAACACCUGGAAACAGGUGCUAAUACCGCAUAAGCGCACAGGGCCGCAUGGCCCGGUGUGAAAAACUCCGGUGGUGUAAGAUGGACCCGCGUCUGAUUAGCUUGUUGGCGGGGUAGGGGCCCACCAAGGCGACGAUCAGUAGCCGGCCUGAGAGGGCGGACGGCCACAUUGGGACUGAGACACGGCCCAGACUCCUACGGAAGGCAGCAG
rnacentral:rRNA from 1 species